rnacentral:rRNA from 1 species
GACGUAGGGCGCGAGCGUUUGUCCGGAUUUAUUGGGCGUAAAGAGCUCGUAGGCGGCUUGUCGCGUCGACUGUGAAAGCCCGCGGCUCAACCGCGGGUCUGCAGUCGAUACGGGCAGGCUAGAGUUCGGUAGGGGGAGACUGGAAUUCCUGGUGUAGCGGUGAAAUGCGCAGAUAUCAGGAGGAACACCGGUGGCGAAGGCGGGUCUCUGGGCAAUAACUGACGUGGAGGAGCGAAAAGCGUGGGGGAGCGAAACAGG